rnacentral:rRNA from 1 species
AUACGUAGGGAGCGAGCGUUGUCCGGAUUUACUGGGCGUAAAGGGCGCGUAGGCGGGUAAAUAAGUCAGAUGUGAAAACUAUGGGCUCAACCCAUAGCCUGCAUUUGAAACUGUAUAUCUUGAGGGCAGGAGAGGAAAGUGGAAUUCCUAGUGUAGCGGUGAAAUGCGUAGAUAUUAGGAGGAACACCAGUGGCGAAGGCGACUUUCUGGACUGAACCUGACGCUGAAGCGCGAAAGCAUGGGGAGCAAACAGGAUUAGAUACCCUGGUAGUCCAUGCCGUAAACGAUGAAUACUAGGUGUAAGGGGUAUCGACUCCCUCUGUGCCGCAGUUAACACAAUAAGUAUUCCGCCUGGGGAGUACGGCCGCAAGGUUGAAACUUAAAGGAAUUGACGGGG